UAACGAUACCGGACUCAUCCGAGGCCCGGUAAUCGGAAUGAGUACACUUUAAAUCCUUUAACGAGGAACAAUUGGAGGGCAAGUCUGGUGCCAGCAGCCGCGGUAAU
rnacentral:rRNA from 1 species